CUGGGGCGCUGGAGGUGGAGCGCGAGAGGACAGAAACCCCUCAACGUCCACUCCAGUGUCGAGUCCCGCCCACCUCUGUCAGGCGCGCCAAUCAGCGCGCAGGGAGCGUCAUUAAAGGUCUGCGAGAGCAUCUUGGGAUCCGAGGUAUCCGUAGGGGUGUUACAGUUGUCAGAGGUGUGGGGAGGUUCCACGCGUUCCUGGAGCUUCACUAAGAUCUCCAGAGAGUCCCUGUUUGAACCUUGGAGGUUGCAGUUCCUCAGCUGAACUGUCAAGGGCACUGCCGGUUAGAUUUGGAAAAGACGCAGAUUAUCCCGGCAAAAACCAAGCGAGAAGGCUGACAACUCACAGUGACUCCCCGAGACAAGCCCAAAGCAGGAUCGCGCAGAAGAUGAAUUCAGCACCCACAUCCGGCAGCUAUCAACUGUAAUUCCAACUCCAGUGGAUCCGAGGCAUACAUAUACACACACACCAAAAAUAAAUGUUUCUUUUUAUUUUGUGUAUGAGUGUUUCACCUGUAAGUAUGGAGGCCUACCUGGAACCCUCAGAGGUCAGAUGAGGGUAUCAGAUUUCCUGGCGCUGGAGUUACAAAUGGUUGGAGCCACUGUGGGGAUCUGGGAACUGAACCAUGGUCCUAUGCAAGAGCAGAAAUUGCUCUUAACCUCUGAGUCAUUUCUCCAGUUCCAAAUCUUUUUGUUUGUUUGUUUGUUUCUCUUUCAUGCUCAAUUGUUUUAGUAUGUGAAGAAAAUCUAGCCCAGCACAAGCAUAUCAAUGGAAAAGGCCUUUUUUAGCCUUCUCUAAAAAUAAUGAAUAGUCUUUUGCUAUAACAAAACAUCAAAUAGUACUCUCCUUCCCAUAUCUGUCUCUCCUUUGAUUUUAAGAUAAAUCUCUUUAUCUAGCCUGGGAACUAACUAUAUAGACUAAGAUUACCUCAAAUGCACAAUGUGCAAUCCUCCUGCCUCAGUCACACAAAUACUAAGACUGCAGGUGUGCACCAUAAUGCCCAGUUAACAAGUAGUGGCUUCCUUUUAAAGCUUUAUUUUUACUUAUGUGUCUGUAUAUGAAGUUGCAUGACUUUAUAUGUACCACUUGUGUGUGCAGGUGUCCAUGGAAGCCAGAAGAGGGGAUCAGAUCCUCUGGAACUGGAGUUACAGAAGGUUGUGAGCCACCCAAAUGUGGAUGCUUGGGAACUGAACCUCGAUCCUAUGCAAGAGCAGCAAAUGCAUGCUGGGCGUUGGUGGCGCACACCUUUAAUCCCAGGCAGGCAGACCUCUGUGAGUUCGAGGCCAACCUGGUCUACAAAACCAGUGUGCCAGGAUAACCUCCAAAGCAAUACAGAGAAACCCUGUCUCGAAAAACAAAAACAAAAACAAACAAACAAACAGCAAAUGCUCUUAACAACUGAGCCAUCCAUCGCUCCAAUCCCAUCAAAAAAAAUUAAUAAUGUUAAUAUCAUCACUGUUGUCAUCAGGAAACUUCCAGGAAGUUGUUAGAUUCAUGAUGAUAGACACCAAAUUUCCAAAGGUAAAAAUUUUGCCUUUCUUUCUUUCUCUUUUUUUUUUUUCUUCUUGAGACAGGAUAUCCAGCUAGCACGACGCAUACUCAGAAAACGUGCUUAAGAGUCCACUAUGAGGGGAAACAUUUCAUUCUCAAAAAUUUUUUUCCUCUUCCUGUUAUCAGUAGUUCUGAAUGUUAGAUAUUUUUUCCAUGGGGUCAAAAGGUACCUAAGUAUAUGAUUGCGAGUGGAAAAAUAGGGGACAGAAAUCAGGUAUUGGCAGUUUUUCCAUUUUCAUUUGUGUGUGAAUUUUUAAUAUAAAUGCAAGAUGUAAAGCAUUAAUGCAAGCAAAAUGUUUCAGUGAACACAUUUCAACAGUUCAACUUUAUAACAAUUAUAAAUAAACCUGUUAAAAUUUUCUGGACAAUGCCAGCAUUUGGAUUUUUUUAAAUAAGUAAAUUUCUUAUUGACGGCAACUAAAUGGUGUUUGUAGCAUUUUUAUCAUACAGUAGAUUCCAUCCAUUCACUAUACUUUUCUAACUGAGCUGUCCUGCAUGCAAGUACAUGUUCUUAAUGUUGUCUGUCUUCUGUGCUGUUCCUGUAAGUUUGCUAUUAAAAUACAUAAAACUAUAAAAAAAAACAUAUUGAGAGCUAGCACAAUGCUACAGUGGAAGAUGCCACACAGGUCUUGGUCAAAAUGCAGACAUGUUAAAAAUACCUCCAAACUUUGUAUAUAACAUAUAUUUAAAAAGUUGGGCCUGGUCAAACAUAUAUAAUCCUAGCACUGAGGAGGUUAAGAUGGAGUUCUAAGGUCAAUCUGAGCUACAAAAGACCUCACGAUUUUUUUGUUUUGUUUUUUGAGACAGG
ensembl:lncRNA